UCUUUUAAAGUAAAAUUUACAUUUAAUUUCGACUUAAAAAUUGAUUACCAAAAUCUAAAAGAA
rnacentral:tRNA from 1 species